rnacentral:rRNA from 1 species
CCCCUAGAUGUUCUGGGCCGCACGCGCGCUACACUGAACAGUUCAACAAGUCUUAACCUUGGCCGAUAGGUCUGGGUAAUCUUUGAACGCUGUUCGUGACUGGGAUAGACCUUUGCAAUUAUGGGUCUUCAACGAGGAAUUCCUAGUAAACGCAAGUCAUCAGCUUGCAUUGAUUACGUCCCUGCCCUUUGUACACACCGCCCGUCGCACCUACCGAUUGAAUGGUCCGGUGAAAUCUCGGGACGGCGGCUUGGUCGCUUGCGUCCGACUGCUGAAACUUGAUUAAACCAUAUCAUUUAGAGGGAGGUGAAGUCGUAACA